rnacentral:rRNA from 1 species
UACAGAGGUCCCAAGCGUUGUUCGGAUUCACUGGGCGUAAAGGGUGCGUAGGCGGUUGGGUAAGUCUGUCGUGAAAUCUCCGAGCCUAACUCGGAAACUGCGUCGGAUACUAUUCAACUCGAGGAAUGGAGGGGAGACUGGAAUUCUCGGUGUAGCAGUGAAAUGAGUAGAUAUCGAGAGGAACACCAGUGGCGAAGGCGAGUCUCUGGACAUUUCCUGACGCUGAGGCACGAAAGCCAGGGGAGCAAACGGG